rnacentral:rRNA from 1 species
UUGCCUACGGGAGGCAGCAGUGAGGAAUAUUGGUCAAUGGGCGAGAGCCUGAACCAGCCAAGUCGCGUGAAGGAUGACGGCCCUACGGGUUGUAAACUUCUUUUGUCAGGGAGCAAUUGGGUCCACGCGUGGGCUUAGCGAGAGUACCUGAAGAAAAAGCAUCGGCUAACUCCGUGCCAGCAGCCGCGGUAAUACGGAGGAUGCGAGCGUUAUCCGGAUUUAUUGGGUUUAAAGGGUGCGCAGGCGGAGGUGCAAGUCAGCGGUCAAAUUGCGGGGCUCAACCCCGUACUGCCGUUGAAACUGCA